AUUGAACGCUGGCGGCAGGCCUAACACAUGCAAGUCGAGCGGAUGAGAAGAGCUUGCUCUUCGAUUCAGCGGCGGACGGGUGAGUAAUGCCUAGGAAUCUGCCUGGUAGUGGGGGACAACGUUUCGAAAGGAACGCUAAUACCGCAUACGUCCUACGGGAGAAAGCAGGGGACCUUCGGGCCUUGCGCUACCAGAUGAGCGUAGGUCGGAUUAGCUAGUUGGUGAGGUAAUGGCUCACCAAGGCGACGAUCCGUAACUGGUCUGAGAGGAUGAUCAGUCACACUGGAACUGAGACACGGUCCAGACUCCCACGGGAGGCAGCAGUGGGGAAUAUUGGACAAUGGGCGAAAGCCUGAUCCAGCCAUGCCGCGUGUGUGAAGAAGGUCUUCGGAUUGUAAAGCACUUUAAGUUGGGAGGAAGGGCAGUAAGUUAAUACCUUGCUGUUUUGACGUUACCGACAGAAUAAGCACCGGCUAACUCUGUGCCAGCCGCCGCCGUAAUAC
rnacentral:rRNA from 1 species